ACCCGAGUCCGCGGAAAGGCCGCCGUGGAGCGGCCAAGGGGGGCUUUCCUCUCCGCUGCAGCCCCACCAGACGUUAGGGGCGCGACAAUAGUGGACCCGCGCACUAACAAAAGGCCAUUCACCGGAUAGAUGAGGACGGCUCAGCCGCCGUCUCCGCGGGGCAGACGUACAGAGGGCUCCGAGAGGGGGUUGGGGGAAUCCUGAGUGGUCCAGAGCCUCUGCCACGCUCCAGGGGGCGGGAGCCGCUCUUUACCACCCAGCCCUGGGGGUCAGUGCUGGGGAGGAGAACUAAGCAAAGUUUUCGUUUUCUCCUUCUCCAGUGCAGGAAAGGGAGGGGCUGCGAUUCCAGAUGCUUGACAGUUGUUGGCCCCAAAGUUGAGCAAGACUUAUUUGUUCCUAAUACCCUCCGUUCACCAGGCAUCAGUAGCCUGGGGACAACCCGUGACCUGUAGUCCCACGCCGCCCCGUGCUGGGUUUCAGGAGCCCGGGCGCAUCCCCCUGCAUCGAUGCACUUUCGUAAAAGUUUCUCUGCUCGCCGCCUCAGGCCGACGCGCACCCUACCCCGCAUCUGCGAUUCAGGAAGGGUUCGGCCUAGGGCCCUGCUGUCUUCCUUCGCACGGGCAGCUGCAGCUGGAGCGGGAGAAAAAGUGAGCUCCUCCAGCCGGGGCAGCGACGCUUGGCAGAUCCACGCGAGGGGCUUCCUGGCCAGCACGCGCGACUCGGGACGCAGCCGCCGCGCCUCCGCUGCAGCCCCCACAUGCACCGAGCGCGCCGCGCAGCCCGCCCGGGCGUCUCUGCAGGUCAUCGACUGGGAGCGGAGUCCCCUGGCGGCCUCCUCUGGAAAGGCAGCUGCUGGGGGCAAGAGGAGUCUUGCUGCCUUUAGGAUCCUCUGAUCUCCACUAGGGCCUGAGACAAUGUGCAGUCUAAGAAGUCUCUCUACCGCUGACCAGCGUAGCUAAAAAGAUGCCAGACUAGAAGAGAUGUUUUCCUGGUUGGGUUUUUGUCAGCUUGACAAAAAUCUAGGAAGAGGGGAUCUUAGUUGAGAAAAUACCACCUUAAGAUAGCCUAUUGGUCUGUCCGGCUUUUUUUUUUUUUUUUUUUUUUUGAUUAAUGAUUGGCGAGGGAGGACUCAGUCCACUGUGGGUGGUGCUAAUUUGGGGCAGGUAGUCCUGGGGUGUCUAAGAAAGAAGGCUGAAUAAGCCGUGAGAAGCAAGCCUGUUCUUCCGUGACUUCUGCUUCAGUUCCUGUUUCCAGGACCCUUGACUAAUCACAAGGCUCGAGAGAUUAAUCUCCUGUUUUACGGGAGCAUCUGUGAGGACAGAAUUUAUGACAAUGAACUCUGGGUCACAGACAUAAGUACGCAUGGCUCCUCCUAAGCACUGAAGUAAUGGCAAUGGAAAGGUGGAGGCGAGACUAGGUGUUGGCAGACUCUGGAUGAGCUGGUCCAUCGAAUGGGUUCCCCAGGCCUCAGGAGACUCUGAGCAGGGUACCAGAAGGCAGGCCAGAAACAGGCCCAUGCUUGCCUCCUCCCAUCGGUGGAAGCGGGACUAUUAUUGCUACUUCGUCAGACUUUGGAUAGGCUGGUCACUGGGACAGGUUCCCCUGUGCAAAAUCCCCAGGCCUCAGGAGACUCCAAGCAGGGCAGUGCCCCAACGACUGUUGAGCAAUAAAACCUAAGUGGUUUUAUUGGUUUGUUUAUUUAUUUGUAAAAGUAAGGUUCUGGUUUAGUUACUGAAUUUUGUUGUUAUUUGUUUGAUGCCCAGCUCAUAAGAAACACCCAAUAAAUGUUUGUCUGACUAGGCUUAA